rnacentral:tRNA from 2 species
CGGGGCGUAGCGCAGUCUGGUAGCGCACUACACUGGGGGUGUAGUGGUCGCAAGUUCAAAUCUUGCCGUCCCGACCA